rnacentral:rRNA from 1 species
AUGGACCCGGCCCAGGAGGAGCUCGAGCGCCGCAGCCGCUACCUCAGCUCGCUCGUCCGCCGCACCAGGCUCGACGACCCGCCCCAACCGGAGCCGGAGCCGGAGCCCAAGGUGGAGCGCAAACCGGCGGCGGAGCCCAGCGGCGGGGAGGGCAAGGCCGCUAAGCCGGAGACCAAGGAAAGGGAGGCGGCGAAGGUCAAAGGGGACGCCGCGAGCGGGGAGGGGAGGAAGGUGGCGGUGCGGGUGCGCGCGGCGGACAUGCCGCUGGCGCUGCAGCGGCGCGCGAUCUGGAUCGCCCGCGAGGUCGUCCUCUCCACGCCGCGCCUCGAGAGCAAGCGCCUCGCGCUCGCGCUCAAGAAGGAAUUCGACACGACAUACGGGCCUGCUUGGCACUGCAUCGUCGGCACAAGCUUUGGCUCCUACGUCACUCACUCCCUAGGAGGCUUCCUGUACUUCUCCGUCGACAAGGCGUACAUUCUUCUCUUCAGAACCGCUGUCGAGCCACUGAGUAAACCGUGA